AUCCCAUGAUGGGGACAGGCGGUGACGUACUCCUGCAGACGAUCCCAAGCUUCAGGUAUGGAUUCCUCCUUCAUCUGUUGUAUAUUGGAGAUUCUCCGUUGAAGGGC
rnacentral:snoRNA from 1 species